rnacentral:lncRNA from 1 species
AAGGAGAUGAAAUUGAGAUGGACUUGCCUUGCUCUUGGUGCAGAGCUGUGAUUACAGAGUUGAUGAGAAAGCUGUUCCAACUGUGCAUGGAGAUGCAUUCCGUGGUCAAUCUGCACAUGGCUGUCAGGAACUAGCUGGAGUCAGCAGGAGAGAGAGCAAUGCCUUGUUCAUCCAUCCAGGUGGGGCUCCGAGAGCUUCCAAACCAAUGGAUAAGAAGGAGGAGCCACAGAGGCUAGAAAAGACUGCCGACCACAGUUUGUCCCAUGUAGAACUUUCUGGAACAUUCAGCUGCAGAAAGUGAAUGGGCUCAAAGCUUUCUGUCUCCUUCUGAACAGGCUGUCUAUAAAAACAAAGGAAGCCUGGCUGCCUGGGAGACAGUUCUUGAUGGUUUCAAGACAAGCUGCAGUGUCUCUCUUGGCUGCAGGAUGGGAUGGUUGCCAUGAGUGAGGAGCACAGUUCACCUAAGGCUGCCCUUGUCAGGAGCGGGGAAAGCACCGUUUACCUAAGUGACUUUGGAA